CUACAGGCCUAACACAUAGCAAGUUCAGGGGCAGCAUGGACUUAGCUUGCUAAGUCUGAUGGCGACCGGCGCACGGGUGAGUAACGCGUAUCCAACCUGCCCAUAUCCCGGGCAUAACCUUGCGAAAGCAAGCCUAAUUCCCGAUGUGUCCUGUGACGGCAUCAGAUCAGGAUGAAAGAUUUAUCGGUGAUGGAUGGGGAUGCGUCUGAUUAGCUGUUGGCGGGGUAACGGCCCACCAAGGCGACGAUCAGUAGGGGUUCUGAGAGGAAGGUCCCCCACAUUGGAACUGAGACACGGUCCAAACUCCUACGGGAGGCAGCAGUGAGGAAUAUUGGUCAAUGGACGAGAGUCUGAACCAGCCAAGUAGCGUGCAGGAAGACGGCCCUAUGGGUUGUAAACUGCUUUUAUAAGGGAAUAAAAUACGGGACGUGUCCUGUUUUGCAUGUACCUUAUGAAUAAGGACCGGCUAAUUCCGUG
rnacentral:rRNA from 1 species